rnacentral:rRNA from 1 species
GACGAACGCUGGCGGCGUGCUUAACACAUGCAAGUCGAACGGACGAGUGAGAUAAGUUUACUUAACUCACAAGUUAGUGGCGGACGGGUGAGUAACACGUGGAUAAUCUACCUGCAACACCGGGAUAACGCUGUGAAAACGGUGCUAAUACCGGAUACGUUCCCUUGUGCGCAUGUAUGAGGGAAGAAAGCUCAGGCGGUUGCAGAUGAGUCCGCGGCUGAUUAGCUAGUUGGUGAGGUAAAGGCUCACCAAGGCGAUGAUCAGUAGCCGGCCUGAGAGGGUGAACGGCCACACUGGGACUGAGACACGGCCCAGACUCCUACGGGAGGCAGCAGUGGGGAAUCUUCCGCAAUGGGCGCAAGCCUGACGGAGCAACGCCGCGUGGGUGAAGAAGGCCUUCGGGUUGUAAGCCCUGUCUUAUUGGGAGAAGGUCAGUGACGGUACCACUAGGAGGAAGCCACGGCUAACUACGUGCCAGCAGCCGCGGUAAAAGUACGUA